AUGGCAACUGUUGUACCGUGUGCGUCCUGCUAUGGCAGCAGCGUUCAGCUCUUUGGGAAGGGGCCUGAUGGUGUUUACAUGUCCCUUUUCAGUUACAGAAGGCCCAGAGGGGCCCCUCGCCCACGUCUGGCCUGCCAUGCUCCGACGAUGACACUGCGUCAGAUUUGUCGCAUGUUGCGUAUAAUGCGCCAGCUGCGUAAUAAAGAGGCAGCAGCUGCAGCUGCAGCAGCCAGAAAACAGGCUUCUCCUCCCAGCUCACCAAUGAUCAAAUCAGAAAAGCGUUGCUUACCUGCCUGCUUUCGGCGCAGACGAAGUAACAAUAUCAAAAAAGUGAGUUAAGCAUCCAGCAUCCCCAAAACCUCCCAACAACUUCAGCCCUGUGGGAGUUUACAAACUAAUGGAGCCAGUCCUUACUCUACACAGAAGAGUUAAAGUGAGGGACCAAGACAUCGCUCUACAAUCUUGUUGAAUUCUUUUGUUGGGAGGAUUUAACAUGCAACAAAUUUGGUUUGAAUAGGAAAGAAGCAGAUCUUUAGAUGCCCUGAGUGCUGGAACUCUGUCUUACUGCUCAUAAUGAAACAGAGGAGGUUUUUUUUUUAUUUUUUUUUUACAUGAUUAUUUUUUUCUUUGACUAGUUUGGACUCAGUGAACUCAAAUUGUGAAAUUCCAGUAGGGUCAAACAGUUUCGUGUGCUUCUAUCUGUAAUUAAACCAGUGGAAAGUCCUCAUCAGGUUGGAAAUACGACACAGCUAUUUGUUUGUUUAUUUAUUCAUCUGUUUGUUUGUUUCUGUGUGGGACGGGGGGCCCAAGGUUCUCUAUCUUUCAAAUAGGUGUGAUGGAAACUUAGCUACCGGUGUGCGUUACCGUGUUGAAACUAAAACGUCUACACUGUGUGUGACAACAUUGUGAAUUUACUGAUUUCCUAUUUAUCUGCAUUUGAAUAACCUUUCAAUAAAAAACACCUAUGACUUCA
ensembl:lncRNA